AGAUGGAAUUAAAAUUAUGGAAUUAAAAGUUAGAGAAGAUAGUCUAAGUAGGCUCGUACUUGAUAUUCUGAAUGGAGUUAUUGUUGUCUGUAGGAUGAGGAAGCUCAUGAUCUGCAGCCUUAAUUAGCCUAGCAAGCUAACGUUAUCUAUCUUAACUAGCUUCUCCUAGUUUGAUGCAGUCAAAGGGGCCUGCUAGAGCCUCUCUCUCUCUCGCGCUUUAUCACCUCCGGUUAAUGAAGUAGCUUAAAAAAAACACAACUGAUUGGCUCAAACUCAUUAAGAAGGAAAGAAAUUCCACAAAUUAACUUUUAAGAAGGCUCACCUGAUAAUUGAAAUGCAUUCCAGGUGACUACCUCAUGAAGCUGGUUGAGAGAAUGCCAAGAGUGUGCAAAGCUGUCAUAAAGGGUAAAGGGUGGCUAUGUGAAGAAUCUCAAAUAUAAAAUAUUUGAUUUGUUUAACCAUUUUUUGGUUACUACAUGAUUCCAUAUGUGUUAUCUCAUAGUUGUGAUGUCUUCACUUUUAUUCUACAAUGUAGAAAAUAGUAAAAAAUAAAGAAAACCCCUUGAAUGAGGUGUUCUAAAACUUUUGACCGGUACUGUCUGUCCCCCCUUUCACAUUCACUCACUGUCACUUUCUCUACCUCCUCCUCUCUUUCACACACCUUCUCAGUCUCCCCGUCAAAUCCAAGUUUACAAUAUACAGCGGUUCUUAAUUGUACAAUGAAAUGCUGACUAGCCAAUGUAAAGUUAAUAAAGUUAAGUGAUUCCUUAACAGUGUAAAGUAGAACAGCAAAGAAAUCAAUAGACAAGAAGCACAAGGAUCGGUAAAAAAAAGACAAGCCAAUGAAAUGGAUAUGAAAGAUCACAAGCAGACUAAUGUUUUGGCUGGAUACAGUGUGGGAGGUUUGAUUGACAGCAGGGGCGUGUGGUGCGCUGUAGAAAUGUUACGUAUUCUAUUCCUGUGCUGUAGGUGACAUGUCGUGUCUUGUGUCCAGUGACACUCAGCAACCUACCUUAUGAAUGGACCUUCAAUAGCUUCUGCCCUUUUACCCACAAAUCACUUCUGAUCACUUCUGCACUGCCAAUGUUAUGAACAUUAGUCCAUAGCCAAAUUCUGUUUCUCCCAACAGGGACUAUUGGGGGAAGGGGCUAGGGGCUAUUAGAGGGGAAGGAUACAAAAAAUAAAGCAGUGGAACUUGGCUUCCAGGUCAACAUUUGAAUUUGAGGGUCUUGUUUUUUGUUUUUUUUAACGAGGCCUUGGUCAAGCUGUGUUGUGUUGAGUCCUUUACUCUACAGCACCCCCUAGUGACCUGCUGGAGAUCUGCGAGUUGAGCCAGGAGAAGAUGAGCUCUGUAUUUGCAGACACUAACGUGUACAUGCUUCACAUGAUGUACCAGGCCAUGGGAAUCUGUCUGUACAUGCAGGACUGGGACGGAGCCAUGAGCUACGGAGAGAAGAUCAUACAACCAUACAGAUGAACCAAAAGAAGGCAGGAGCUUACUGGGGGAAAUGGAAGAACUGGUUUAGUUCCCACCCAACUACACUGAACAAAAAUAAAACGCAACAUAUAACAAUUUCAAAGAUUUUGCUGAGGUACAGUUCAUAUAAGGAAAUCAGUCAAUUUAAAUAAAUUCAUUAGGCUCUAAUCUAUGGAUUUCACAUGACUGGGAAUACAGAUAUGCAUCUGUUGGUCACAGAUACCUUAAGAAAAAAAAAAAGUAGGGCCGUGGAUCAGAAAACCAGUCAGUAU
rnacentral:lncRNA from 1 species